UUAAGAUGAACGUGUGCGUUACUGCUGCAGUUUUCUGCAUCUUUAAAACUAUUUUUUUCUCCUCAGGUCACACAAUGCGCCUCGCUUGCAAACUGGUGUCCCGCAGUCCCUCCAUGUUGCUGGUUUCCUGGGAGAGGAAUCAACCAGAUGUCAUCUAUAGUCACAAUGUGACUUUGUACCAUGUUGAACUAGGCUCCUAUAACACGCAUACUUUGGAUGUUACCACUCACAACCACUACCGCUUCUCUGCUCUGGACCCCUGCACCCUCUACAUGGCCUGUGUGGAGAUUGCAGACACUCUCUCCUUAGCAUGCCUCUCUACUAUUACUGGUAUGGACUAAUGAGUGAUGUUUAGUUAAUUAAAGUACAUUUGCAAAGGUUAAAGGCCUUAAAUUCACAUAACAACCUCUAGAUGGCGCCAACUAUGGGUUGUUUUUUUUUUUUUUGUUUGUUUUUUUUUUUUUUAACCUCAAAGCUUUUUGGGGGUUUUUUGUUUUGUUUUAAGUGACACUGCUAUCAGUUGUUUUCAACACAUGCUAAAACUGCUGCUGUAGCUCUUGUUCUGUUUCUCGUCAGAUCCAGAUGUUCCAGAGAACUUUGAGGUUACAUCAUGGAACAGCAGCAGCAUAUCUUUAUCCUGGGACUGCCCUGUGAACAGCAAGUACUCGGUCUUCCUUCUCACUGCCUUCCACCUCAACGGUACAAACCACAUCACAGACGAGGUCUCGUUUUGGCACAAAGAUAACUUUGAGGUCAGCUUGUCUGACCUGCAGCCCUGCAGCAGAGUGAAGUUUGGCCUACAGACUGUUUGCCAGGCAGGAAUCGAGUCCCGCUACAGCAAGAUGGUCCUGAAUGACGGAAACUCUUUCCAUUCCAACAUUGAGGACUUGCGUCAAACAUUGUUUGGCCCCACCAACUACACCCUGAGCUGGGAGGUGAGGAACACCUCUUCCAUCUCCAUGUUCAGAGUGUUUCAUGAAGGUGUGCUGCAGGGUACUACUCUCAUGAACAGCUACACUGUGAGGGGGCUGCUGCCAUGCCAACAGUACCAGGCCAGGGUGGAGGCACUUUGUGGACAUGGUGUGCUCAUGAGUCCUAAGACGGUCA
ensembl:lncRNA